GCAUCCGAGUCCAGCAGCCAUCCACGAGCAGUAAGCGAAUGAGAGCUCUAGUCCAUACGAGACACACGGCGAUAUGAUAUAUUCUACAUUCGUAAAUUAUCAACCCAGCACAAUAUUAUAAUAUAUCGAGAUGGAUGCGGUGUAUGUAUGAUUAAGUAUUGAGAUAUUUCCGUAUAUGUAUGUUUAGUUAAUAUGCUUUGCUAGUAUGCGUGAGUAGGAUCAACACACCGUGUGAGCAACAAGUGGCAGACUUGUGGGCUUCGCCAGCCUCUGAGGUCCAGCGUAUACGCAUAUACAGAAAGUAUAUUAUAGGCAAUAUAUAUAUCAUCAGUCUGAAAAUUUUUACAUCCCUCCUUCCCUCUGUCUGCUGCUUGGUUUGCAGGAUCCUCAACCCAGCAUUACGGCUACCACUUCUCUACAGCGACAGGGUAACUCAACUAAAUCAUCAGUCUGCCCUCUUGUCAUUUACAGACUUGCCUUGUCUCUGUUUGCUUGCUUACAGUCAACAGCCCAGAAUCAUUUGCUGGCGUGAAAACUUACACCCUAGCACAACCUGUGCACCCAGCAACUGCUGGCCCUGUCGUCCUUCGAACACAACCCAGGUUCAGUUGGUACCAAGCAUUCCUCGCUGCAGGGCUCUUGCUUGGUUUUUGGUGCUAGCGAUGCUGUCUUUAUCAAGAACUGUUCCUUUCUAUGCUCAAGUCUUGGAUACGCAAUGUUGUAGCGGAAGGUGAUGGCACUGAAGGCAACCAACUUAAGGCCAGGAUAGAUGAGGAAACAGCCGAGGCUGUAAAGGCCUCUGCUUCGGCUGUUUCUGCUAUUGCCAAAACAAACCAACAGCUGCUUUCAAAGGAUGAAGUUUUCACUCUACCUGUUCAUGAUUUGCUGCUUCUUCUUUGCCAAUAGUUUUACUCACUCCAAUAAUAUUGAUUUGUUCUUGUUAGCAGAAAAGAAUGUUUUUUAAGCCUGUACGAGUUAAAGUAGUAGUGUGGCUGAAAUAUAAUCUUAAGAUCAAUUAAGAAUCAUGACAUAAUAUAAUUAAUUUCUCAGCCUCUCAUAUUCAUUCCGUUAAGCAUGUACGAGUUAAAGUAGCGUCAGAAACAUGACAUGAUAAUUAA